AGCUCUUGCUCUUGCUCCUUCGCCUGCUUGCUGCGUGAGACUGAGUAACUGCUAGAUCCUUGGACUUCCAUUCACAGCUGCGACUGAACCAUUGUUGGGAAUUGGGCUGCCGACUGUAAGUCAUCAAUAAAUUCCUUUACUAUUUAGAAAUUAUCCAUAAGUUCUGUGACUCUAGAGAACCCUGACUAAUACAGACAUUAUCUAUGCACUCCUGCAUCUUUUACAAGGUAUAGACAGAUGCUUUCAGUCAGUGGAGGGAGAGUAAAGUAUCAUUCUAUGCAACUGACCUUGUUUAGGUCUCUAAAGGAGACUUCUCUAGAAAGAAAUCACUUCUAAGUGGAAUAUUUAAGACUACUUGUUGAUGAUUGGAGACAUUAGUUAGCCUCUGAGCACCCAGCGCCUUCUGCAGGCUCCUGGGCUAAUUGUUAAGCCAGCUGUGCUGCUUUACACUGAUCCAGUGUCUGGGUCAAAGGUAACACUUGGACGGCUUGAGGAACAACGGCCUCUGAGGUAGCCCAAAGGACACCGCUGGCGGUUGGAAGGCCCCCUUAGGUGGUGAAUGGGAAAUGGGAAAAUAACUUGUUGAGUUUUAAACAUCUAAAAUCUAAAGGCAUAAUUAAAUCAAGAUGGUCCAUCUCAUCUAUUGGUGUUACAAAGCCUGGACACCAAGGGGUGAUCCUUCAUCUCAGCUGUUGAGAUGUUUCUCAGUGGCUCAGAGGGAGGUGAAUUGCCCCGCCUUGUAUUUAAAGAUUUGGAUGGUCCACUCUCUUUGUUAGAAGUCACCAUCAAGCAUUGUCAUUUCCCCCUGUGGUUCUUAUAGCUGUCAAACAGUGCCAGAUUUCCUUAUGUGAAAUGAUCCCCAGGAUAAUUUUGGUUUGAAACAGAUUUUCCAAGCGAUCUAAAAGGUCCUUGGUGCCUCCAUGCCUGAGUCUCAAAGUUCACAGAACAAUAUAUUUACUCAGGAAGCUUGAGGUUUUCAAAUAUUAACUGAGCAAGCAGGAGACUCUUGAUGGGUAUUUUGAUACACGUGGCUGCCUCGGGGCCAUUGAUCUUUGUUGACUUUUUUUCCGGAAGCUCUUUAGCUCUGAAUUUGUGCUUCCCGCUCCUCAGGAAGUACACACUGGGUCUUUCCAAGUGUGAAGCCAAACACUGGAUCCUGGGCUUUCCAGGAAAUGCCCUUUCAUAAGAGCACACCUGCAACGUUUGACAUGCCUGGUGGGAAUAGUUUUCAAGUUAGGUUGGUCCUUCAUUUAGUGUUAAACUUGCUUUUUCAAAUGAUGAGGUAGGGGCCAGAAUGAUGGCUCCAUGCAUACUCAUUGGCUGAGAGUACACACUGUGUUUGUAGAGUUCCUGAGUUCGUUUCCAGCACCCAUGCCAGGCAGCUUACAACCAUCUGUAACUCCAUCACCUGGGAAAUACGGUGCCCCUAGCUUCCAAGGGCAUCUGCAUUUAUGCCCCUGUAUACAUAAUUAAGAACAAUACAGAUAACUUUAAAGGGGGAAUAAUGAGGGAAAGGACAUGGGAGUGGAUAAGAUUUAAAGUUAGAAGAUGGGCAAGGUGCAGCAUCUCUCAGCAGAGGUGGCCUUCUGCAAGCACACCGUGAUGCAGGAAAGCAAAGCCACCUGCCUGGAAGACCCACUGGGGCACCUAGUCCAACUCAACCCCACCUCUUCGCCUUUUCCAUCUGUCUUACUUGGAACUCCCCACCUCUCCAGCCAAGAAUGCCUUGGCCACCCCCUCAGAUCUCUGCAUCCUAGCUAUCUGAAGUGACAAUUAUGCUCCAGGAUGUUGAAAGGGAAUACCAGGGCUUGAGGGUGUAGCUCAGUGAUAGAGCAUUUUCAGAGCGCCCAUGAGGAUCUCAGUCACCUCCUUGCACCAAAACAAGCAACAGC
rnacentral:lncRNA from 1 species